AUGUGGGCUGUUGUUCUAUGUUAAUAGCGAUAUUUUCGUUAGUAUAUUAUGUUAGAACUCCAUCUUGUGUAUGUGUUUAAGUAUAAUUUUGCCACGAUUUAAUAUGGUUUUGAUGUUCAAGCUAUAUGUGAUUGAGUUGAGAGGUUCUAUUAAUAAUGAUAUUGCAAGAAAUUGCAGAAUGUUCCUCUUGCUUAUUUUCCUC
rnacentral:lncRNA from 1 species